rnacentral:rRNA from 1 species
UGGGGAAUAUUGCACAAUGGGCGCAAGCCUGAUGCAGCCAUGCCGCGUGUAUGAAGAAGGCCUUCGGGUUGUAAAGUACUUUCAGCGGGGAGGAAGGGAGUAAAGUUAAUACCUUUGCUCAUUGACGUUACCCGCAGAAGAAGCACCGGCUAACUCCGUGCCAGCAGCCGCGGUAAUACGGAGGGUGCAAGCGUUAAUCGGAAUUACUGGGCGUAAAGCGCACGCAGGCGGUUUGUUAAGUCAGAUGUGAAAUCCCCGGGCUCAACCUGGGAACUGCAUCUGAUACUGGCAAGCUUGAGUCUCGUAGAAGUGGGUAGAAUUCCAGGUGUAGCGGUGAAAUGCGUAGAGAUCUGGAGGAAUACCGGUGGCGAAGGCGGCCCCCUGGACGAAGACUGACGCUCAGGUGCGAAAGCGUGGGGAGCAAACAGG